rnacentral:tRNA from 1 species
CGCGGGGUAGAGCAGCCCGGUAGCUCGUCAGGCCCAUAACCUGGAGGUCGGUGGUUCAAAUCCACCCCCCGCAA